UGGGGAAUAUUGCACAAUGGGCGAAAGCCUGAUGCAGCAACGCCGCGUGAGUGAUGAAGGUCUUCGGAUUGUAAAGCUCUGUCUUUUGGGACGAUAAUGACGGUACCAAAGGAGGAAGCCACGGCUAACUACGUGCCAGCAGCCGCGGUAAUACGUAGGUGGCGAGCGUUGUCCGGAUUUACUGGGCGUAAAGGGUGCGUAGGCGGAUGUUUAAGUGAGAUGUGAAAUACCCGGGCUUAACUUGGGUGCUGCAUUUCAAACUGGAUAUCUAGAGUGCAGGAGAGGAGAAUGGAAUUCCUAGUGUAGCGGUGAAAUGCGUAGAGAUUAGGAAGAACACCAGUGGCGAAGGCGAUUCUCUGGACUGUAACUGACGCUGAGGCACGAAAAGCGUGGGUAGCAAACAGGAUUAGAUACCCUGGUAGUCCACGCCGUAAACGAUGAGUACUAGGUGUAGGAGGUAUCGACCCCUUCUGUGCCGCAGUAAACACAUUAAGUACUCCGCCUGGGAAGUACGAUCGCAAGAUUAAAAC
rnacentral:rRNA from 1 species